CGGGUGAGUAACGCGUGAGUAACCUGCCUCAUACAGUGGGAAUAACAGUUAGAAAUGACUGCUAAUGCCGCAUAAGCGCACAGGGCCGCAUGGCCCGGUGUGAAAAACUCCGGUGGUAUGAGAUGGACUCGCGUCUGAUUAGCUGGUUGGUGAGGUAACGGCCCACCAAGGCGACGAUCAGUAGCCGGCCUGAGAGGGUGAACGGCCACAUUGGGACUGAGACACGGCCCAAACUCCUACGGGAGGCAGCAGUGGGGAAUAUUGCACAAUGGGGGAAACCCUGAUGCAGCGACGCCGCGUGAGUGAAGAAGUAUUUCGGUAUGUAAAGCUCUAUCAGCAGGGAAGAAAAUGACGGUACCUGACUAAGAAGCCCCGGCUAACUACGUGCCAGCAGCCGCGGUAAUACGUAGGGGGCAAGCGUUAUCCGGAUUUACUGGGUGUAAAGGGAGCGUAGACGGCUUUGCAAGUCUGACGUGAAACUCCGGGGCUCAACUCCGGAACUGCGUUGGAAACUGUAAGGCUUGAGUGCCGGAGAGGUAAGCGGAAUUCCUAGUGUAGCGGUGAAAUGCGUAGAUAUUAGGAGGAACACCAGUGGCGA
rnacentral:rRNA from 1 species